ensembl:lncRNA novel transcript, antisense to SLC14A1 and SLC14A2
CCUAGUGUGUGUGAAGGGGAGAGACUGUGAAGGAUGAACUACAAUCUCUGCAGGGUUACCUGGGAUCUGCAAUUUCCUGAAUAAAUGGAUCCAGACCCACUUCCAUGGUCGGUGUGGACAGAGCUCCUCCUUGCUUCAUCUUUCUGAGGAUAGAUAUCACUGGUGAUGUGUACAUUUCAGGACUUGAAGGAGGCCAAGUGGUGGCUAUUUAUAGGAGGCUGUAGAAAAGCUUGGACACAUGGCCUAGGAUGUUCAUAUGCAUAUGCCCAGGUCUCAUAAAAUGUAGGAUGGAGCCAAGCGUGGGAAGAGAGGAGAGGUAUAGGCCAGAGGCCUCCAGCUUUGCUACAGAAAGCUGAGAAUUCUGAGAAUUUGAAAUUCAAACUUUGCUUUUCGGUUGAUGAAAAGGUACAUUUGUCAAUGAAGGAGGAAGAAACGUAUUUGACAUUUGUUAUCUUGAUUUAUAACUCUUGCAUAUUUACCCAUAUGGUAUAUGUCAGCUUCCAUAUGUACUUGUGCCCUAGGUAUGCAAAUGUUAGGAGAGGGUCUGUGCAAAGGGCAGAGGCAGUGUGUGUUGUUGGUCUAUUGUGUCAACCUGCAGAGAGCUGAGUCUUUCUCCAGCCCUCUCCCUUGAGGGUGGGACGGUUUUUGUAGGGUGGUACUGCUUUCAACUUUAACUCCACUCCCAAACCACCUCAGCUCAAGAGUCAGCAAUGGCUGCUCCAGUCUAUAGGAAGAACCCUGAAGACCUAUGGGAUAUUCUGGACCUAAUCUACUGUCUUUAACCUACCUCUCACCACUAUCCUCUUCUCUUCCAUGAACCUUCUGUCUGGUAGCACAAGCCCCUUCACUACUUCUCCAUGCUCCUUCUCCCCAUAACUCCCCUACAUUACACACACAUGCAUACACAAGCACACAUGCAUAUAGGUGCACAUACACACAUGCACGUGCAGGCAAGCAGGUUCCUUCCUGUCAAUUGACUCAUGACACUAAUUCUGUCUCAAAUACCAUUCGCUCUUCUCUCCAUCCCAUCCAAAUCCUACCCAUUUAAAAAGAUCUAGUUUAACUUCCUAAACUUUGUUUAUUCAUUAAUUCAUACGAUGACUAGUAAUUGACACUGUACUAAGCCCUAGCUUACAGCCAUGUGAAUACAUAUUUUUCUCUAAUCCAGUUUGCCUUGAUCUCUAUUUUCUGAACAUCUAUAUCAUAUGUCAUUUCUACUUAAUUUUAAUAAGGUUUCAACACUGUUGUCUAAAUUUUCCCAGUUGUAGAUUUUGUCUUAAACUAGAUGAUAUAUUUUUGAUGAGCAGGAACUCUGUGCUGGGCCAUGUUUACAUUUUACUCAUUGGCCUACAGAAUUUAGUGGCAUAAAGUUGAUAUGUAGAAAAGGGCCAUUGAUUAAGUGAUAGGCAGAUUGAUGGAGGGAUCAAUUGAUUUGCUGCCAAGCCACAUCCCAUGUAAGGGAAUUUUCAGAGUAUGGGUGGUCUGGCUUCCAUUCUUUCUCUGCCAUUUUUAAUGAAUUGUUUCUAAUGUAUUAUGGAUGUAUAAUGCCUGAAUUCAUUUCAGCCCCUUUGAACAUAUUGAUAUUUUGGCCUGAAGUCUUAGUAAGAAUGAUUUCUGUAUUAUGACUUUGAGUUUUUAUUUGUAACUUAUAACAAAUUACUCUUGUAGAAAAUCUUUUGUUGAAAUAAAUUCAGUUAUUUAUUAUUUCUUAUUAUUUCCAUAUGACAUUUGGUUUGCUUUUCUAACAUCUCUAACAUCUCUUCUGGUGGGGCUGGAAUCCCUGUUUCUAUCUCUCUUCUUUCAAGAAAGAAGCUUAUAUUGAAGCAGUAUUUCUCAAAAGUAUGGAGCCUGGGUCAGUGCCAUAAGCAUCAUCUAGAAACCUGCUAGAAAUGCAGUUAUCAGGACCCAGUCCAGACCUAUCAAUCAUUUCAACAAGCCUUCUAGGUGAUUCUGAUGCAUGCUAAAAUUUGUGAAUCAAUCUAUUAGUUGAAAGAACACUGAGCUGGCAGUGUAGACCCUGAAUUUUGGCUCUGGCUAUGU